ACUCCUACGGGAGGCAGCAGUGGGGAAUAUUGCACAAUGGGGAAACCCUGAUGCAGCCAUGCCGCGUGUGUGAAGAAGGCCUUCGGUUGUAAAGCACUUUCAGUAGGGAGGAAGGUAGUGUAGUUAACACCUGCAUUAUUUGACGUUACCUACAGAAGAAGCACCGGCUAACUCCGUGCCAGCAGCCGCGGUAAUACGGAGGGGUGCGAGCGUUAAUCGGAAUUACUGGGCGUAAAGCGCAUGCAGGCGGCCUGUUAAGUCAGAUGUGAAAGCCCGGGGGCUUAACCUCGGAAUUGCAUUUGAAACUGGCAGGCUAGAGUCUUGUAGAGGGGGUAGAAUUUCAGGUGUAGCGGUGAAAUGCGUAGAGAUCUGAAGGAAUACCAGUGGCGAAGGCGGCCCCCUGGACAAAGACUGACGCUCAGAUGCGAAAGCUGGGGAGCAAACAGGAUUAGAUACCCUGGUAGCACAGAG
rnacentral:rRNA from 1 species